GACGAACGCUGGCGGCGUGCUUAACACAUGCAAGUCGAACGCUGAAGCUUGGUGCUUGCACUGGGUGGAUGAGUGGCGAACGGGUGAGUAAUACGUGAGUAACCUGCCCUUGACUCUGGGAUAAGCCUGGGAAACUGGGUCUAAUACUGGAUACGACAUGUCACCGCAUGGUGGUGUGUGGAAAGGGUUUUACUGGUUUUGGAUGGGCUCACGGCCUAUCAGCUUGUUGGUGGGGUAAUGGCUCACCAAGGCGACGACGGGUAGCCGGCCUGAGAGGGUGACCGGCCACACGGGGACUGAGACACGGCCCAGACUCCUACGGGAGGCAGCAGUGGGGAAUAUUGCACAAUGGGCGGAAGCCUGAUGCAGCGACGCCGCGUGAGGGAUGACGGCCUUCGGGUUGUAAACCUCUUUCAGCACGGAAGAGGCGAAAGUGACGGUACGUGCAGAAGAAGCGCCGGCUAACUACGU
rnacentral:rRNA from 1 species